rnacentral:lncRNA from 1 species
AGCAAACAACGGCAGUUAUACGACGGCUAUCAUGACGAGUAUAGCUGUCCCAUCCUAGAUGAGGAGGAUAGGGUCGUCCAUGAGUUAGAGCAUCAUAUUCGAGAGGGCUGCUUGAUGGUUGAUUACCAUGGCUGUGAUUUCAUUCCUGAAUACUGGUUUCAUGUAGUGUUUGUGUUGAGAACAGAUAAUGGUAUAUUGUACAAACUACUUGAAACAAGGGGUUAUACUGAGAAGAAACUAUAAGACAAUAUUCAGAGUGAGAUUUUUCAAGUUAUUUACAAAGAAGAAAUUGUGCAUCAGCUGCCCAGUAAUGAACCAGAACAGCUAAAGGACAAUAUCAACCAAAUCUCAAAAUGGAUUGAGCAGUGAGUCAAACAUCAUAACC